rnacentral:rRNA from 1 species
GACGUAGGGCGCGAGCGUUGUCCGGAUUUAUUGGGCGUAAAGAGCUCGUAGGCGGCUUGUCGCGUCGAAUGUGAAAACUCGGGGCUCAACUCCGAGCUUGCAUUCGAUACGGGCAGGCUAGAGUUCGGUAGGGGAGACUGGAAUUCCUGGUGUAGCGGUGAAAUGCGCAGAUAUCAGGAGGAACACCGGUGGCGAAGGCGGGUCUCUGGGCCGAUACUGACGCUGAGGAGCGAAAGCCAAGGGAGCAAACAGG